rnacentral:lncRNA from 1 species
CACUCGGUACAUACAGGUCGAAUUAAGACGUAUUCAAUAACAUAUUUGUUGAAUUUUUAGAUUUAUAGAUUUAGAUUUAAAAAGAAUACUUAAGUUGAGAAACAUGUACAAUGAACAAUAUUUAAUUCUAGCACUGAUGAGUUUAGCUAUAUCUUAGACAUGCAUCACGCAUUAUUUAUUAAACAAAAAAAAACUCAAUAUAUUUUGUGCGUCCAAAUGUACUUUCAUAGAGAGCGCUCAAAAAAUGGAAAGCCAGAGAUGUAAAACACAUGGAAACGCUAGGAGAUAUAUGACCAAAAGGAGCCUAAAAAAUAGUCAAAUUUAUCUAAGGCCAACUAUGUAGCUUUUAAAACAAUUUUGGAAUUUUCAUCGGGGUAAUUUUGGAAUCAAAUGAAAGCUUAAGAACUCGGGAUCACUGUAGAACCAUAUUUAAAAUUUUCUUUUGUUUAAUUUAAAAUAAAUAUGAAUUAUAAUAAUAGGAUAUAUUGUCGCGCAUGUCGUAUGUUCACCACAUGCACGAAUCAUUUUCUUUUUUUAAUAACAGUACGAUA